CCACCCCGCCCCCCCAGGAGCAACAGCGGACCUGAGAGAGAGCAGCCUCAGUCUGAGCUGCGUUGCCGUGCGUGACGAGCCCGCACAAGUGACUCUCCGCGUGUUUAAAUGUGCGGCGUCUCUUUUUUUUUUUGUUUUCACAGGUUUUAUACGAAUUCCUCUUUGCGUCACUGCUGUUUCCAUCUUUGCGCCGCAGACGAACAUCGAGCGACGCGUCACUGCGGCUGAGUCCGUUUCCUCUUCCAGACGCGGAAUUACAAUGAAACAUGUAGGAGACGCGUUUCCUGCCGCAGCCGGAGAAACGCGUUAGCAUCGAGGAGACGACGACCAACGAGACAACAGGUGGAACAUGGUGACGGCGGCUGCGUCUGCGGGAUCAGCGGCUUCCUCCGCGUGGAGCUGCGUGAAACACACCACAGGUGGAGGUCGGGAUGUGACCUCACACGUCGACUGCACCGCCGGACGUCGGAGGGUCGUAGCCUGCAGAGACCCUCGGGUGUUCAUGUCAUCACCGGAGGAGAGAGAACAAGUGGCCGACGGGCUGCACACAACAACAACCUCCGAGGACAAACACUAUCCUGAAACUAAACCUGAUCCAACGUCUGAGGCUGUGAAUUCACCAUCAUCACUUCAUUUAUACGGCACCUUGCUCCAGAGAGACGUUACAUUGAUCUAUAGUCUUUUUAAAAAUACAUUAUUCAUCACGUACAUCUGCGUAAAACCACACUUAUCAAGUUAUACAAU